rnacentral:rRNA from 1 species
ACAAAAACAUUGUUUCUUGUAGUUGAUUAGAGAUAAUGUCUGCCCACUGAUAGGUUGAAGGGCUGCAGUAUACUGACUGUACAAAGGUAGCAUAAUAAAUAGUUUCUUAAUUGGAAGCUGGAAUGAAAGGCUUAAUGAAAAAUCUGCUGUCUUAUUUAAAAAAUUAGAAUUUUAUGCUUAGGUAAAAAUGCCUAAAUGUGUGAGUGGGACGAGAAGACCCUGUAGAAUUUUAUUUUAUUAUGAGGUUAGUAAAAAGAUUUGAAUUUGAGAGGUAAUUGUGAAGUAAAAUUUAAUUGGGGUGAUUAAAAAAUAAUUAACUUUUAUUUAUUAGUGUUAUAUAUAAGUAUUUAUUUGAUCCAUGUUGGAUGAUUAGAAGAUAAAUUACCUCAGGGAUAACAGCGUGAUUUAUUCGGAUAGUUCAUAUAGAUGAAUAAGAUUGCGACCUCGAU